rnacentral:rRNA from 1 species
UACGGAGGGGGCUAGCGUUGUUCGGAAUUACUGGGCGUAAAGCGCGCGUAGGCGGAUCUGCAAGUCGGGGGGUGAAAUCCCGAGGCUCAACCUCGGAACUGCCUUCGAUACUGCGGGUCUCGAGUCCGGGAGAGGUGAGUGGAAUUCCUAGUGUAGAGGUGAAAAUUCGUAGAUAUUCGCAAGAACACCAGUGGCGAAGGCGGCUCACUGGCCCCGAUACUGACGCUGAGGCACGGAAAAGCGUGGGGGAGCAAACAGGGA